UACAGAGGUCUCAAGCGUUGUUCGGAUUCAUUGGGCGUAAAGGGUGCGAGUAGGUGGUGCUGUAAGUCAGGUGUGAAAUCUCGGGGCUCAAACCCCGAAACUGCACUUGACUACUGCAGUGCUCGAGGACUGGAGAGGAGAUUGGAAUUCAUGGUGUAGCAGUGAAAUGCGUAGAUAUCAUGAGGAAGACCAGUGGCGAAGGCGGAUCUCU
rnacentral:rRNA from 1 species